rnacentral:rRNA from 1 species
CGAGGGUGACUCUCCAACCCUAUGUUAAUUAUACCCUUGUUGCUUUGGCGAGCCGCUCCGGCCACCGGCUUCUCGCUGGUGAGUGCUCGCCAGAGGACCCUAAAACUCUGUUUAUACAUGUCGUCUGAGUACUAUAUAAUAGUUAAAACUUUCAACAACGGAUCUCUUGGUUCUGGCAUCGAUGAAGAACGCAGCGAAAUGCGAUAAGUAAUGUGAAUUGCAGAAUUCAGUGAAUCAUCGAAUCUUUGAACGCACAUUGCGCCCUGUGGUAUUCCGCAGGGCAUGCCUGUUCGAGCGUCAGUACAACACUCAAGCCUAGCUUGGUCUUGGGCCUCGCCGGAGACGGCGGGCCUUAAAAUCAGUGGCGGCGCCUCUCGGGCCCUAAGCGUAGUAAUACUCCUCGCUACAGGGACCCGGUGGACGCUGGCCAGCAACCCCCAACUUUCUAAGUUUGACCUCGGAUCAGGUAGGGAUACCCGCUGAACUUAAGCAUAUCAAUA